ensembl:lncRNA MMP25-AS1 MMP25 antisense RNA 1
ACGCAUGGUCCCAGCGCGCGUGCGCCCCUGAAGGCGGGUUCCGGUGGCAGCGCCGGGGUCUCAGACCCUGAGGAGACUGAGCCCAGCGCCAGGCGACCGGUCCCCGCCGCCGCCGCCCCUGCGCGGGAGAUCCCCCCUGCUUAGUCCGCGCCCGAGCCCCCGUCCGUGGGAACAGACAAGGGGCCUCCGCAGCGCCUCACAACCCCCGACCAGGUCCAGCGGCGGGGGACUCGGCCGUGGAGGGCGCUGUUCGGUCUGGAUGGCUCCCCCCAUCAGCGGGAGGCUACACCCCCCACCAGCAGGGGCAAGAGGAGCAGCGGGAUGGGAGCAGGCCAACGUCCUGCGGCCUGGUUGAGCUCGCACUGACAAUCGCAGGCCCAGUAACCCGCAGGUCACCGCGCUCCCCACCUGCGUUGCUGACGGUGACAUCGUCAGGGGAGGGGGGCGCGCCUUCCCAGAGGCUCAGGUCGCGAGGGUAGCCGGGGUCCGGGCGCGCCGCCGCCUCGUCGUAGCGCCAGUACUGCCGGCCGCGGACCAGCUCAGGCGCUCAGGACUGCCAGGACCCAGAGGAUUCACACGCCAGCCCCGGCUGAAGCCCAGCUCCUCAUCAACCGGUGAGCCGCCUGCCAGCUCCUGCUCCAGCUGCUGAGAGGCCUGAAGAGACCAAGACAGAGACACAGCCCCGCAGCACCACAGGGAGGCCCCAGUUACCCCAUGCGGAUGAGUUUCAUGGCCAUCUCUAACUAAGGACAGGACAUCGAUGUCAUCUGUAACUUCCGGUGCACUGGGGCACA